CCCCUCAAUCCGAGCGCACUUCUCCCCUUUGCUGCCGAAAACCACCAAGGUGGCGAGACGCCGGCGGCCGUGCGCGAAGCUGCGGAGGUGCGGCGGCUGUUGGAAGCCGGUGGAAAUGACGCCCUACCUCGUCUACGGCGCGGGGAACGCACUGAGGCGCGUUCGCUGAUGGCCCGCGCGGCGAGGAAUGGCGCCGCGGCCGCGCUGCUCUCACCGCCGCCGAGUUUCUCCUCAAAUUCUACCGAUCGGCGAGUGAGGGCCGCUGCGGAUGUCGUCGUCUCCGGCACCGGGGACAGCCACAGGGAAGCGCGACCGCACCUCGGACCCCGGACUUCUCUGGGCGUCGCUGCCCGAAGAUUUGGUUCGCCUGGUCGCGUGGCGCCUGCUGGCCGCCGGCGAUCUGCUGGACUACGUCCGCUUCCGGGCCGUCUGCACCGGCUGGCGGUCCAGCGCGGUCUCCCCGUGCGGUCGCGGCGUCACGGACCCGCGCUUCCACCCGCGCCGCUGGACGAUGCUCCCCGAGGGCCACUGCCUCCACCCGGGCCACCCCGACCUACGCGGGCACGCUCGCUUCCUCAACCUCGACACGGGCGCCUUGGUCCGCGCCCGGCUCCCGCUCCUCGACGACCACUGCGCCAUCGACUCGGUCGACGGCCUCCUGCUGCUGCUGGGGGACCAGUACCAGCGAGGCACCAUCCGCCUCAUCCACCCUUUCACGGGCGACAUCGCCGAGCUCCCGCCACUGGCGACCCUCCUCCCGCAGCUGGGCACAUCGCUGGCGCUGCACAGCUGCCCUGUGCUGUACAGGAUCAAAUACCUUGCGAGCAGAGUUUGCGCCUCUGCUUCCUUCAAGGCGGGGGUCAUCACCGUCAUGCUCGCGCUUGAUCAGGUACAGUGCGUAGCCUUUGCUACCUCCCAGGACCAGCAAUGGAGCCUCUCAAGCUGGAACUACCCAGUAACAACUGCUCCACCAUUGGCAUUCCAAGGCAAGCUGUACGUGUUGCACACUACCGAUGAAUGUGGCAAAAAUAUGAACCGGUUCCUCCAGAUUGGCCCACCUGCUCAGGGUGAGGUAGGCUCAGGCGGCAUGCUGCAACUGCAACCUCCACAGUUGAUCGCCACAAUCCCUGUAUCCAAGCUCCGCAAACCUGGAUAUCUCGUAGAAUGCGAUUCAGAGAUCCUGGUGCUUGGCUACAGAGGAGCGUCCAUGUCGCGGAUCUUGAUUUGCAAACUUGCGGACCUUGUGCUGCAAAGGUUUAUCCCAAUAAAGAGCAUAGGAGACAAUACCUUGUUCGUGGGAGAAAGGUGCAUGAGUGUCUCUUCUAAGGUACUGUCUACCGUCAGGGAUGACAAUGUUGUCUGCAUUCAUCCAAGACAACACUAUCUUGCACAGUACCACCUCAGCAGUGGCACCUGGUCACCGGCAAUUGAUGACUGCAGCCUGUAUGGUCGUGCUUCAGGCCCUAGUAACCUGGUCCACUAUAUCUACAGCUGCUGCACUCGCAGUCUAUGGUAUGCAGAUGUAUUUACUUCAUUUUCAUAUACUGAUCUCCCUACUGUCAACAGUUUCUAUUUUGGUUAGCUAGUUUUUUUUUUUUUGCAUUAUGUGAUUGAAGGUACAGAGGAAUAGUGUUCAGAAUGACUCCACCAGAUUCGUUUGCAUGAUAUAGACAAGAGCAGGUUUCAAGAUGAGGCGUAAAGAAACCAAAUCCUGGUACCGCGGAGCUGCAUCCUGGGUGUCACUGCCCUCUACAUCGUUACUAGAGAUUCAUCAUUGUUAACUAACAUCAGAACCCUUUUCCUUGAUGCUCCUGGUCUGCUAUAUGAUGACUCCCUUGUAUAAAGUUAUUAUGACUGCUUACAUAUCUAUUUCAGCUUUCUCUGUGUUGUACUGCUGAAUUAUUGUACCAUGGAUUUUACAGAUGUUGAGAUGUAUAUAGAUGUGGUGUUCUGGUG